GGAACUGUGCCUGAAUGCCAAAGGGCCACUUUGAUAGAGUGACCUAUAGGGGCUAAAAUCCCCUCAGCUCCU
rnacentral:tRNA from 1 species